rnacentral:rRNA from 1 species
AUACGAAGGUCCCAAGCGUUGUUCGGAUUUACUGGGCGUAAAGCGUCUGUAGGCGGCGCGGUAAGUCAGAUGUGAAAUCCCGGGGCUCAACCCCGGAACUGCAUCCGAUACUGCCGUGCUAGAGUAUUGGAGGGGAGUCUGGAAUUCUCGGUGUAGCAGUGAAAUGCGUAGAUAUCGAGAGGAACACUAGUGGCGAAGGCGAGACUCUGGACAAUAACUGACGCUGAGAGACGAAGGCCAGGGUAGCGAAAAGGAUUAGAUACCCUAGUAGUCC